CGAUGAUCUCCAGCUUGCUGGGGUGAUUAGUGGCGAACGGGUGAGUAACACGUGAGUAACCUGCCCUUGACUCUGGGAUAAGCCUGGGAAACUGGGUCUAAUACCGGAUAUGACCUUCCAUCGCAUGGUGGUUGGUGGAAAGCUUUUGUGGUUUUGGAUGGACUCGCGGCCUAUCAGCUUGUUGGUGGGGUAAUGGCCUACCAAGGCGACGACGGGUAGCCGGCCUGAGAGGGUGACCGGCCACACUGGGACUGAGACACGGCCCAGACUCCUACGGGAGGCAGCAGUGGGGAAUAUUGCACAAUGGGCGCAAGCCUGAUGCAGCGACGCCGCGUGAGGGAUGACGGCCUUCGGGUUGUAAACCUCUUUCAGUAGGGAAGAAGCGUAAGUGACGGUACCUGCAGAAGAAGCGCCGGCUAACUACGUGCCAGCAGCCGCGGUAAUACGUAGGGCGCAAGCGUUAUCCGGAAUUAUUGGGCGUAAAGAGCUCGUAGGCGGUUUGUCGCGUCUGCCGUGAAAGUCCGGGGCUCAACUCCGGAUCUGCGGUGGGUACGGGCAGACUAGAGUGAUGUAGGGGAGACUGGAAUUCCUGGUGUAGCGGUGAAAUGCGCAGAUAUCAGGAGGAACACCGAUGGCGAAGGCAGGUCUCUGGGCAUUAACUGACGCUGAGGAGCGAAAGCAUGGGGAGCGAACAGGAUUAGAUACCCUGGUAGUCCAUGCCGUAAACGUUGGGCACUAGGUGUGGGGGACAUUCCACGUUUUCCGCGCCGUAGCUAACGCAUUAAGUGCCCCGCCUGGGGAGUACGGCCGCAAGGCU
rnacentral:rRNA from 1 species